CAGUCGCCGCGGUAAAACGGAGGGUGCGAGCGUUGUCCGGAUUUAUUGGGUUUAAAGGGUGCGUAGGUGGCUUUUUAAGUCAGUGGUGAAAUACAGCCGCUCAACGGUUGAGGUGCCAUUGAUACUGAAGAGCUUGAAACAAGUGGAGGCUGCCGGAAUGGAUGGUGUAGCGGUGAAAUGCAUAGAUAUCAUCCAGAACACCGAUUGCGAAGGCAGGUGGCUACGUUUGAUUUGACACUGAGGCACGAAAGCAUGGGGAGCAAACAGGAUUAGAUACCCGCGUAGUCCCUGUCUCUUAUAC
rnacentral:rRNA from 1 species